UACGUAGGGGGCAAGCGUUGUCCGGAAUUAUUGGGCGUAAAGAGCGUGUAGGCGGCCAGAUAAGUCCGCUGUGAAAUCUCGAGGCUCAACUUCGAGCUGUCGGUGGAAACUAUCUGGCUAGAGUCCGGAAGAGGAGAAUGGAAUUCCUGGUGUAGCGGUGAAAUGCGCAGAUAUCAGGAAGAACACCCGUGGCGAAGGCGGUUCUCUGGGACGGUACUGGACGCUGGAGAACGCGAAAAGCGUGGGGAGCGAACAGG
rnacentral:rRNA from 1 species